GGCGGCGUAGCCAAGUGGUAAGGCAGAGGUCUGCAAAACCUCCAUCAGCGGUUCGAUUCCGCUCGCCGCCU
rnacentral:tRNA from 1 species